CUGGCGGCAUGCCUAAGACAUGCAAGUCGAACGGAAUUUCACUCCUGCGGCGGACUUCGGUCCAAAGCUUUGUGAAAUUUAGUGGCGAACGGGUGAGUAACAGGUAGACAACUUGCCUCAACGACUGGGAUAACAUCGGGAAACUGGUGCUAAUACCGGAUAGGAUUGUUCCUCGCAUGGGGAGUUCUUUAAAGGUGGGUUAAACCAUCACGUUGAGAGAGGUCUGCUUCGUAUUAGCUAGUUGGUGAGGUAAUGGCUCACCAAGGCAAUGAUGCGUAGCCGAGCUGAGAGGCUGAUCGGCCACACUGGAACUGAGACACGGUCCAGACUCCUACGGGAGGCAGCAGUUAGGGAUAUUCGGCAAUGGGCGCAAGCCUGACCGAGCAAUGCCGCGUGAAUGAAGAAGUAUUUCGAUAUGUAAAGUUCUGUUGUAAGGGAAGAAUGGUAGUGAUAGGAAAUGAUCAUUAUUUGACGGUACCUUACCAGAAAGCCCCGGCUAACUACGUGCCAGCAGCCGCGGUAGUACGUAGGGGGCGAGCGUUAUCCGGAUUUAUUGGGCGUAAAGGGUGCGUAGGUGGCCUUACAAGUCUGAGUUGAAAGCCCACGGCUUAACCGUGGAGGGUGCUCGGAAACUGUAAGGCUUGAAUCCAGAAGAGGCAAGUGGAAUUCUAUGUGGAGCGGUGGAAUGCGUAGAUAUAUGGAGGAACACCAGUGGCGAAGCGGCUUGCUGGUCUGGGAUUGACACUGAGGCACGAAAGCGUGGGGAGC
rnacentral:rRNA from 1 species